rnacentral:lncRNA from 1 species
CGCAGGGCACAGGAGGACAGAGCUGGAGUCACAGUCCUGAAGACUCAGUGCAGACUGACCCCAGUGCUCCUGUGCCCAAGGUCAGACCUGGUCAGAGUACUCCAGCCUCGGGCUACAACCCCUGCCUCAGGAACGGACGUGUGACUCAUACAAAGCCUUUUAGGAUCCACCUGGGGACUUUUACUGUGCUCCUGGGACAAAUGUACACAUUUCCUCUAGCAUGUUAAGCUGUUAGGAUCUUGCUGCCAGCUGGUAAAAUUUACACUCAACACAGAGGAAAAGUCAGGGACAGAGAGACAGGGUUCUGACUUCACAUGAGGACUGCUUACCCAGAUCCAGCUCUGCCUGACUUUCCAGUUUACUGGGCUAGCCUGCACUGGUUUUCUGUUGCUUGCAGCCAAAGUGGCCUAAAUAGUGUACUUUUGCUGUUGGCACUUAUGUCCAAAUCACCAUAAAUAUGCUGCCUCUGAUCACUAUAGGGAAAGGAUUCAGUGAUUCAUUUCUUCCUGCCUGCCUGCCUGUCUGCUUGCUUGCUGGCUUUUUGUCGCUUUCUCUCUUUCUCUCUUUCUUUCUUUUUUUCUGGGCUGCACCUGCAGCACAUGGAAGCUCCUGGGCCAGGGAUCAAAUCUGAGUUAUAUCUGCAGCCCACAGCUACAGCAGCCCUGGAUCUGUAACCCACUGCCCUGGGUGGGGAAUUGGACCGGCAACACCACGGAGACAAGCCAGAUCAUGAACCCACUGCUCCACAGCUGGCACUCUGGAUUCUGUGAUUUCUAAUUGGCCACAACUCACAAGGACACAGAGGCUUUGAAACAGCUGAGCACAGAUUUCAAGAAUGAGAAGACAAGGUCAUGACUGUACUUUUGAAAUUGCUGUUGUAGGUGUGCAGAAGCAUGAUGCUUCUCUCACCACCUUUGACUGUUUACUGAUUGGAAGCACAAGACGGAUCAGAUGGGAGAACUGGCCCAAAAACGGGUGUGAGAUGCCAACAAGGAAAGGGAAACCCAAAUACCAUUUCACAACAGCCUGAAUCACAUACUUCUCAAACACAAAGAAAGGAAGUGGCCUCAUCCAGAACUUUAGAGGAAAGAAACCCUAUGAGCCAUGACCAUAAGCUGCUAAUUUAAGGAAUUACUACAAUAUGUGUCCAAAGCCCGAUCUUUUAUGAAAAGAUUGGUUUCUGCUCAGCUGAGGCACCUGUGUGCUUUUUAAUCUGCCUGUUUAACAGCAGGAGCCCGUUAUUCUUUGGCGUUCUCUAGUUAUAACAGAUUUCAGCUCCAGAAACAUCAAGAAAUUGGAUUCCAGCUGCCAGGGGGUCUCUCUGAGAGAUUUCGUUCUCUAAGACAGAACUGUCUUUUUCUCUUUUUUCCGUCGUGAGAGGCGGCAUGGGGAACACCUGUGAUAAUCUGCAGAGGCAAAGCCUCAUGUGAGCAGGGCAGACAACGCUGCAGAGAGAAAGCCUUAGGGCCAGAAGUUCAAGGGAAGGCGGGGGAAUGAACUUUUUAAUGAUUAAGAAAGUUUGCUGACUACCACGUUGUGGUCUAACCCCCAGUGCUUUCAGGCUUCCCAUGUUAUUACCGAAGCCGGGACCAUUUUCAUUUCCCUGCUGCUUCACUGAAUCACUUGAUGCGCUUCAAAACUUCCUUGGUCUUUCUGCUCUGUGUCCUCUCAUUUUCGGGUGAGAUGCCCGUGGUUUAGAGAAUUUCUUCUCUCCUGCAUCACAGUCCCUCUCCUGGGAUCUAUGGAUGAACCUAGUGACCACUUGGGACUUUAUGCUUUCAGAAUGUCAAUUCCAGACAUACCUUUUUGUUUUUGUUUUUGCUUUUCGGGGCCACACCCGCAGCAUAUGGAGGUUCCCAGGCUAGGGUUCACAUCAGAGCUACAGCUGCCGGCCUACACCACAGCCACAACAACACAGGAUCCAAACGGCAUCUUCGACCUACACCGCAGCUCACGGCAACGCUGGAUCCUUAACCCCCUGGAACGAGGCUGGGGAUCAAACCCGCAUCCUCAUGGAUACGGGUUUCUUUGCACCCCAAGGGAAACUCCACAACAUUUUUAAAUGAUUCUGUGGAAGAAAAAUAUAUGUAAGCUCUGCUUAUAAUUUCAUGCACUCAAAUAUUUAUUGUACACUUACUGUUUUAGGUGCUUAUGAUGUAAAUAAGCCAACAAUGAUCCUUAUCAUCAAUAAAGCUUACAUUCUAGGAGUUCCCGUCAUGGUGAAGUGGUUAACGAAUCUGACUAGGAACCACAAAGUUGCAGGUUCGAUCCCUGCCCUUGCUCAGUGGGUUAAGGAUCCGGCAUUGCCGUGAGCUGGGGUGUAGGUCACAGAUGUGGCUCGGAUCCCGCGUUGCUCUGGCUCUGGUGUAGGCCGGUGGCUACAGCUCUGAUUGGACCCCUAGCCUGGG